rnacentral:tRNA from 1 species
GGAGCUUUAGUUUAAGUAAAAUAUCUGUGUUGCAAGCAGGUGAUGUAGGGGUUCUGCAAGCUCUA